UUGGACAAGAUGGGCGAUGCGAAGAUAUUGCCUGAUGACAUUGGGAACAGGAGGCAGCACUUGAUAGAGAGCGGCCAUGAUUUUUUUGACAAGUUAUCAGAGUACAUGAGAGGAAAACUCGAUAGUUUGAGUAUCGAUUACUACUCGGUAGAGCAGAUGAAUGCGAAGGUGGAGGCGUGGUACGCGGCGAUGACGGAGCAGGGUCGGAUGCUUAUAACUCAGGUGGAAGCACUGAAAGAAAAAUAUGAGAAAUUAUUGCCGUUAUUGAGUCAAAUAGACAAAAUUGAGAAGAGUCUGAUUGGUUUAGAGAACUCGCUCGUUCAACUGGAUGA